rnacentral:rRNA from 1 species
CCUACGGGCGGCAGCAGUAGGGAAUAUUGCUCAAUGGGGGAAACCCUGAAGCAGCAACGCCGCGUGGAGGAUGAAGGUUUUCGGAUUGUAAACUUCUUUUGUUAGAGAAGAUAAUGACGGCAUCCAACGAAUAAGCAGCGGCUAACUCCGAGCCAGCAGCCGCGGUAAUACGGAGGGUGCAAGCGUUACUCGGAACCACUGGGCGUAAGGAGAGCGUAGGCGGGAUAGCAAGUCAGAUGUGAAAUCCUAUGGCUUAACCAUAGAACUGCAUUUGAAACUGUUAUUCGAGAGUAUGGGAGGGGUAGGUGGAAUUCUUGGUGUAGCGGUAAAAUGCGUAGAGAUCAGGAGGAAGACUCAUGGCGAAGGCGACCUGCUGGAACGUAACUGACGCUGAGGCGCGAAAGCGUGGGGAGCAAACAGGAUUAGAUACCCUUGUAGUC